CUACGGUCGUACCGCGGUGUAGGCUGUUUGUGAGGUGUGGACAACACCCUUCUUAACGUUAAGUUUUUAAUUCAUUUUUUAAGACUUUUUCUUCUUCCUCUUUCCCACGAAUUCUUCUUCUCGCCCACGACUGUAAAACCAGGUUCUCUUUCUCAUCGCCAAUCACAAUCCAGCUGCUACCCAUUAAGCUUGUUCUCUCUAUGUUUACUGUGGCUAUCAACGCAGCUCAGUCUCAGAGGCUUUUUGGCUUCCCCGUUCUUCCCUGGCGAAGGUGAGCUACUUUUUCCAUUUUCAGGCAUGAAGGUGAGCUACUCUUUCCAUUUUUCGACAUAGCUGGUGUUUCUCCCAUCAUCCCUUCCCGUUGAUCAUCAGUUUCAGUUUCACAUUUAGGUUGUAGCAUACGAUCUACGAACAUGGCUCGUACACGGUUUUCUUCAAGAUCUGCUCCGUCUACAAUAAUUCUCCUCAUUCUAAAUAUAAACAAAAAACUUCAGCUCAUGUUGAAGCAAGAGGGAAGAAGAUGUCCUCUAAUAGCGAGCAUGAAGCUAAGAAAGCCAAAAUAGCUAAAAAGACUCAACUAACUAUUGAGGAACCUUCACAUUACCCUCCUGAGGCACAUUUUUAAUUUCUUUCAGUUUAUUUUGUUUUUUUUUUCCUUAAAAAAAUUUAAUUAAACUUUAAUACUGAUUGUUGAGGUUAUGUUAUAGUGUUCUUUUUUAUUA